AUCAUACCGUGAUAAAGUUGCCACAAUUCUGCCCAUCUGCCCGGAAGUAAUUGUUUGUAAGAUACGCUGGAACACCUGCUCGAAUAUGCUUUUCAAUUGGUUGUGAAGCAGCAGCAGUAGUCUUCUGAGAAGGAACAUUGUUUACUUCUGGCCCUUCGUUCUGACUCUUCUGAGCAGGUUGGGCAUUGCUAGUGGUCUCUCCACUUCCAAAUAGGUAACCCAAAGAACUCUGUCCACCACCAUUGCUAACACCACGUCCACGUCCCAUUUGUUUUCCUUUACUCAAUAGGAUUUCCUAAAUUUGCAUAAUCACCCAUUAUGAGAACUUACAAACUUCAAAAUUCAUUCUGCUUUUGGCACAUACAGGAAGUAGGUACAAGAAAACAUC